rnacentral:rRNA from 1 species
GUGGGGAAUAUUGGACAAUGGGCGCAAGCCUGAUCCAGCCAUGCCGCGUGUGUGAAGAAGGCCUUCGGGUUGUAAAGCACUUUUGUCCGGGAAGAAAUCUUCCAGGUUAAUACCCUGGGAGGCUGACGGUACCGGAAGAAUAAGCACCGGCUAACUUCGUGCCAGCAGCCGCGGUAAUACGAAGGGUGCAAGCGUUACUCGGAAUUACUGGGCGUAAAGCGUGCGUAGGUGGUUCGUUAAGUCUGCCGUGAAAGCCCCGGGCUCAACCUGGGAAUGGCGGUGGAUACUGGCGGGCUAGAGUGCGGUAGAGGGUGGUGGAAUUCCCGGUGUAGCAGUGAAAUGCGUAGAGAUCGGGAGGAACAUCUGUGGCGAAGGCGGCCACCUGGACCAGCACUGACACUGAGGCACGAAAGCGUGGGGAGCAAACAGGAUUAGAAACCCGAGUAGUCC